CUCCACCAUACUACUACUCCUCACCACCACCACCAAAGAAAUCACCUCCUCCACCGUAUCACUACACUUCUCCACCACCACCAGUUAAGUCACCACCUCCUCCGUACUACUACUCCUCACCACCACCGCCAAAGAAAUCACCUCCUCCACCAUAUCACUACAGUUCCCCACCACCACCAGUUAAGUCACCUCCAACUCCGUACUACUACAAGUCUCCACCACCACCACCAAAGAAGUCUUCUCCCGCACCAUACUACUAUACUUCACCACCACCACCAACUCAUUACUAUCCUCCACAUCAUCAAUUUGUAGUCAAAGUUGUCGGAAAAGUCUAUUGUUUCAGAUGUUAUGAUUGGAAGCACACAGAGAUGUCUCACGGCAAGAAACACCUGAAAGGUACCUUAGUCUUUAUAGUUUAUACUACACUCAUAUAUUUUUAUUUUCUUUUAAGGUUAUCAUCAAAAAUUUAUUUAACUGUACAUAAUUUGUUGCUUUGUUCAUUAUGCUUUGACAGAAUUUAUAUAUAAAUUGUUUUUGUGUUAAUGUUUCUUUUUACAUGUAUUAGGUGUUGUUGUUGAAGUGACUUGCAAGGCCGGUGACAAAGAAAUUGUGAGUUAUGGUACCACUAAGAACAAUGGCAAAUUUAGCAUCACGGUUAAAGGAUUUGAAUACCGCAAAUAUGGAGCAAAGGCUUGCAAGGCUAAACUCCACUAUGCUCCUAAGGGUUCAAAGUGUAGCAUUCCUACAAACCUUCAUUGGGGAAUUAAGGGUGCUAACCUCAAAGUGAAGUCAAAGAAUAAAUAUGAAGUUGUUCUCUAUGCAAAACCAUUUGCUUAUGGUUCUAAGACACCUUAUGCCGAAUGCAAAAAGCCCAAGCCUACACCUGCUCCAUACUAUUAUAAAUCUCCUCCACCUCCAACACCGACUUAUGUUUAUAAGUCACCACCCCCUCCAUCUCCAAAAUAUGUUUACAAGUCACCACCUCCCCCAACCCCGACAUACGUGUAUAAGUCUCCACCACCACCUGCUUACCAUUACAAAUCUCCACCUCCACCAUCACCAAAACUUGCACCGGUAUACUAUUAUAAAUCACCACCACCACCAUCACCAAAACCUGCACCCGUGUACUAUUAUAAAUCACCACCACCACCAUCACCAAAACCCGCACCUGUGUACUAUUAUAAGUCACCACCACCACCAUCACCAAAACCUGCACCAGUGUACUAUUAUAAAUCACCACCACCACCAUCACCAAAACCUGCACCUGUGUACUAUUAUAAGUCACCACCACCACCAUCACCAAAACCUGCACCCGUGUACUAUUAUAAAUCACCACCACCACCAUCACCAAAACCCGCACCAGUAUACUAUUAUAAAUCACCACCACCACCAUCACCAUCUCCUCCUCCACCAUACUAUUACAAGUCUCCACCACCACCAUCGCCAUCACCCCCACCACCUUACUAUUACAAGUCUCCUCCACCUCCAUCGCCGUCUCCUCCACCUCCAUACUACUACAAGUCUCCCCCACCACCAUCGCCAUCUCCUCCACCACCCUACUAUUACAAGUCACCUCCUCCACCAUCACCUUCACCACCUCCACCCUACUACUACAAGUCACCUCCUCCACCGUCACCUUCUCCACCACCUCCUUACUACUACAAGUCACCACCACCACCAUCCCCAUCUCCUCCACCACCCUACUACUACAAGUCACCUCCUCCACCGUCACCUUCUCCACCACCUCCCUACUACUACAAGUCACCACCACCACCAUCUCCAUCUCCUCCACCACCCUACUACUACAAGUCUCCUCCUCCACCGUCACCUUCACCACCCCCACCUUACAUCUACAAGUCUCCUCCUCCACCAUCACCUUCACCACCCCCACCCUACAUCUACAAGUCUCCUCCUCCACCAUCACCUUCUCCACCACCUCCCUACUACUAUCACUCUCCACCUCCACCCGUAAAGUCUCCUCCUCCUCCUUAUUACUACAGCUCGCCUCCUCCACCGGUAAAAUCGCCUCCUCCCCCGGCGUACAUUUACGCUUCACCACCACCACCAGUCCACUACUAAAAGUUUCUAAGAGUGCAGUCAUUCUCCACAAUCAAUCAAGUGAGUAGUUGUUUAAUUUGUAAUUUUUCAUACGAUACUCAACCUUUUUUGGUUCUUCUUUUUGAAUUAAGUCUCUAAUCUUCUAUGUGUUCUUCUUUUCAGAUUUUAGUUUGAAACACAAAAUAAAUGAUGGCUUCUUGAGGAAUAGAUUCAAACGUCAAUGGUUCAAAGCAAUUAAUUUAUGGAAUAACAUUUUCAAUCUUUUAAUUGAAGGGUUGAUUCUUCAUGACAUGGACAUAUUUGAUUCUACUUCUCUUUUGUCCUUCUUGCACAUUGUUCUCUUAGUGCGUUCACAUGAACGUAUCUAGGCUUUGAUGCUUCUUAGAGUUUGUUUCUUUGUAACUUAUUAUUUGUAUUGAGGAUAUUGUCCUCUUUUAUUCAUUCUUAUUAAUUAUUACUGAAUGUUGUUCUCGUAACACCUUUAUGUACUUUGUGCAUAAAUCAAUAAGAAGAUCAAUUUUAUUACAUUCACUAUCUUCUUCUAUUCCUCUUUCUUUUACCUCUGUAAACAUGUUAGAAACAAAUUAAAUUAGUCUUCUCCAAAUAUGUAUCAACAAUUUGGAAAUGAAUAAAUUAAUGAACUUAAGUCAAGCCAUUUUGCACGUACCUUGACUAAUUACACGAGAUACUUGUUACCUCCCACCAAUACUUAUAUCGGAUAACUCUAUCAACGAAAGCUUGGACAAAAGCCAAAAAUCACCAAUCUUUCCACCUACAUUGAAAUUGCACUCUGAGACCUCGUGGUUCUCAUUCCAACACUUACGAUUAUGCAAAUGCGUAAUACAAAAAGGAUUUAUAUUCUAUGACGAUCACAAAUUUACUUUCUUAAUGUAGUUAAUCGAUGUAGCAAGUUUACUCAAUCUAUAAUUUGAAGCCAUCAACAAUCAACAUACAUAUAAUUUUAUCCAUCAACAAUCAACAUACAUAAAAAGGGCUAUUUGUGCUUUUAAGUUAUCAACGUUGUUGCACCGGCCAACUAGUGUUCCAAAAAGAAAAUAAUUCAUCUAUUUGCUAAUAAGUUGAACAAUUUAACCAUACAUGUGAUCAGUGGCGGAACCAAGGAUCCUAAUAGGGGGAUUCGGAGUACAAAAGUAUCACACUUAGGUCUGGAAUAUAUAUAACUGAGCAUGUCGCAUAGGGUAAAUAAUUGGUACGAGUUUCAGACAAUCCCAUAUAUAUAGUAACGCACCUUAGCAUUUACCAGUAAUAAACUCCAACAACAUUAGUCUUGUUUUUUACCAGCUAGCGCGAGUCCACGACACAGAAUAUAUGUAUAUAUCCUUACUCACUACAGAUCAACAGGAAUUUAGAUCAAUUAAUUUGGCUAAACAUGUCAAAGUUGUUGUAAUUAUUGAACACUACAAAAUUCAAUAUCACAGAAUCUGAGCACUAGUGAUAUGCUUAUCAGCCCACACCCUGGCUAUUGAAAACAUAAAAGCAAGAGAGUGGAAAUAUUAAAAAAUAGCACUUUCUUUCCCUUAAGCCAGUUCAUGGCAUGUGUUUUCUCAUAGCAGGUAACAAACUACUUGUUAAAAGAUAAUGGGGAAACAUUUAAAGUGAUAUAGAGAUGGAGUUAAAUAAUUAAAAUGAAAACCUGUAGAUCCAGAUGUUAAUGUAUUUUUUAUACUUUGAUUAUCAAUCAGAGCAAUUGAAUUGGUCCUUUAGACAGCUCUUUACUUUUCAAUGUGUGUAACUAUAAAUACAUAGGCCAAUGAAUCCCCAAAAGGCAUCACUUCUCAACUGAAAAACUAAAGGUUAUCUCCUUUCUUCUUCCUCUAACUAGCUUGGGAGGCUAGGUGGUGUAUUUUUUCGGCGAAAUGAGACUUAACAAUGGCGUCCCUGCCAAGGGUCGUCAAUAUUUGCCACAAAUCUUAGUGGCAUUGGCCAUAUUGGCUGUUGCUAAUGUAGUGUCGGCAGAGCCUUAUGUAUACUCUUCUCCACCACCCCCGGUGUAUGAGUACAAAUCACCACCACCUCCUUCUCCGUCUCCACCACCACCAUAUGUGUACAAAUCUCCACCUCCUCCCUCACCUUCUCCACCGCCUCCAUAUGUUUAUAAGUCACCUCCUCCUCCUUCUCCGUCUCCACCACCACCACCACCAUAUGUGUACAAAUCUCCACCUCCUCCCUCGCCUUCUCCACCGCCUCCAUAUGUUUAUAAGUCACCUCCUCCUCCUUCUCCAUCUCCACCUCCACCAUAUGUGUAUAAGUCUCCACCACCUCCCUCACCGUCUCCACCACCACCAUAUGUGUAUAAGUCCCCACCACCUCCUUCACCGUCUCCACCACCACCCUAUGUGUACAAGUCUCCACCUCCACCUUCUCCUUCACCUCCUCCACCAUAUUAUUAUAAAUCUCCACCACCUCCUUCACCUUCUCCUCCACCACCUUAUUACUACAAGUCGCCACCUCCUCCAUCUCCAUCACCACCACCACCAUACUAUUACAAGUCUCCUCCUCCACCUUCUCCAUCACCACCCCCACCAUACUAUUACAAGUCCCCACCACCACCGGCUAAAUCACCUCCUCCCCCAUACUAUUACAAUUCUCCUCCACCACCAGUGAAGUCUCCCCCUCCACCAUACUACUACUCCUCGCCGCCACCACCAAAGAAAUCACCUCCUCCACCAUACUAUUACAGUUCUCCUCCACCACCGGUUAAGUCACCACCUCCUCCAUACUACUACUCCUCGCCACCACCACCAAAGAAAUCACCUCCUCCACCAUAUCACUACAAUUCCCCACCACCACAAGUUAAGUCACCUCCAACUCCAUACUAUUACAAGUCUCCACAACCACCAAAGAAGUCUUCUCCCCCACCAUACUACUAUACUUCACCACCACCACCAGUUUAUUAC
rnacentral:lncRNA from 1 species